CCUCAGCCCCUCUCUCUCCCUCGUCUCUUCUCAUCCCCUCCUCCCCCCGUGCCGCCGCCUCCGAUUCCCGCCUCCCUCUCGGCCGCGAGCGCUGGCGCCGGCGUGGGAUGGAAGCGGCCGCCACCUCUUCUCACUCCACGUUCCCGAUCUGGAGAGGGAGGGACAUACACGGCCACAUGUGCCCGCGCCGUCGGGAUGCUUCUUGAGGGUUGCAGCAGGCCUUGGUGCCGAUGAAGGGAUGGUACAUGGCAUCGUCGUCGUCGACCUAGGUGGCUAGGUAGAAGGGCAAGCCAAGAUGAACCUCUCGCAUUAUCUAUGAAGUUCGUCAUGGAAGACGCGGAAGAAAAGUCCAUUUAAGCUCCUCUGAUUUUCUUCCAUAAUUUUUCUCCUCUGGGUGUAGAUAGAUACUGCACAACAGUUAGUUUCUUUCCCUUCUGGAUCACGUCUAAUUUUGGGGAAAAGAUGCAGGAAUUUUGAUAGAGAUGGAGAACUGGAUGAGCUUUGUUUCCUUGCCUUCUCGACCGCAUUUAAUUUUGGGGAAAAGAGUGGAAUUUGAGAGAGGGGGACAACCUGAAGAUCUUUGAACAUUCGGGAGCAGCCAUAUCCUCAGUGCUAUGCCAGCCUCCUCGCCACUGCUGUCGUGUGGCUGUGACUACUUUUGGCUGCUGGCGAGAUGGGCACAAUUUCCUCCGGGUUCAUGCAUCGUGAUGGAAGGGAUCAGUUUUGGCCGUGUUCGGUGCUGGCAUGUCAUGUGAUUAGAGAAUAGGAAGCUGACAUGAUGUUUGAAACUCGGUGGUCAUGCUCAUUGACUAGAUGCUGCGCCUCAUGUCACCCCGGGCGUCGAAGGGCUUGCUAGCAGUGCCCAUGGAGUAAGAAUAUGUCUGCAAGUGCUUGUUUGCCAUAUGCCUACCCACUCCUCCGUCUCAUGAAGCUUUCUUUUAUUUCUCUAAAUUUGCGGUGUGCAUGUCUGAAAAAAUAACAUGAAUAGGCUAUGGUAAGGCUUUGGCAAAGAACAUUCUUUCCCUUGCUUGUGGAAAUUUUGGUCCUCUAAUGUCGAUUCCAUGAUUUUUGAUUAAUAAAUGUUGUUGGUAUUUGAUCUUUUUGUUGCUCAUGUCCUACUUGAUUUUGCAUGGGUACAGGCAAAAUACUAUUGGAGUGACAUAUAGUGCAUCGUUACUGGCUACAUUGAAUUCAAUUUUGUUUCACUUCGAUUUUGUUUUUCUGCAAAUUGUUUCUAGGUGGCUGUUGAUGAAUCAUGUGAGGAUGGCGUAGAACCCACCGGUGGGAAAAUAACGAACUGUGGUAACCAAAUUAAACAGCUGAGAUGGUAAAAUUAGGGAAGGAUUAGCGGUCCAGUGUUUCGGUAAUUUUUUCCAGAGUGGUUGAAUUGGUCGAACAAACUUCAUAUCAAACUACCUCAGCUAAUCGCCCCAUGUAUUCUGAUGUACAUGCAUGUUUAAGGCGAACAAUUUAUCAGGUGUGGUGUUAUGAUGGUUCUGGUGGGUGGUUGCAGCUAUGAGGCCGAGCUAAUCGAGUUGUCUAUGCACGACAAGAUUUUUCGCGUCAUAAGUCCUCGUGAUGAGGGUCUGUAGUACAUAGGUUGGGCAGGUUGAUGGAUUGAAAAGGUAAAUAGAUCUCUUCUUGUGAUUGAUUUCUUUAUGCUUUUGUUUGGAGGGUUUAAGAGGUGAGCGAGGUUUGUGAUUUUUUUUCCAGUGUGCUCGAUCUUGAUUUCGGACACGAUCAUGCCUUUAUAAGCCUUGUGUUGUGUGUUCAUGCAACUAAUUAUAUGCUUAUAUUCGUUAGCUAUGGAACUCUUCGUACUCAUUGGCAGUUUCGUUAGUUCUGAAGUUUGAUAGAAAAUUGAUUGCAACUGCAGUGGUUAGCGAAUGAAUUUUUUGGUACUUGUUGACCAUUUAGUUAGAGAUGAUUCAACAAUAUAUGAUGUUCAGAAAUUACACAGAUCACUAGAACCUGUAGUUUUCGGCUAAAAAGAGCUCGGGCUUGAUGUUUGAUUUGAUAUAACUUUUUUGUUGCUUUGCAGCCCAGUACAUUUUUGAAUUCUGUACACGUGGAUUAUCCAUUUUUGCUUAUUAUUUUUAUACAUUGUCAUCUUAUCGAAACUUUAUUUUAUUAUCUUCCAUCAUACUAACUCCAUUCAUAGUAUUUAUUUCCAUCAGAAAAUAACUUCAUUAUGUGUUUGCUCAAAAUUUAUAAAGAAAAAAAGCAUAUGAUACGCUGGCCUUGCGGAACAUUCAUGUAUUAGGCUUGUCUUAAUAAUACCGCCUGCUCAUUGUUAAUGUAUAUGUGCCACCCAAUGGUUGCUCCUGCCUAAUUAUAUGGAUGAUGGCAGUAGACAUGCUUGUUCUAUGGGUUACGUGCUUGUUAUUUUUAUGCAUCUUCUCAUCGUUCAUUUUUCUUCGUUGUAGCCCACUGAUUUCGUCUAUAACACGCUGGUAGGUGUUUCGCUCAACUGGAUUGUAGGUCGCUUUCCGUGCUCUCGUCGCCUUGUCUGCUGAGUACUUUUUGACUAUCCGUACUUACCAGGGUUUUUGCUUGCUCACUUGAACCCCCUAUUACUCCCAAUCUUUCUGUUUCAGUUUUGCUUCUUGAUUUAUUUCCCUGCUUGCAUAUAUAUCAUCUAUCUCACUUCACACUACUCACUCUUUGUUGGGCCUACUUCAGUUUUGCAUGUUUGAAUAUUUGUAGUUUGGUCAUGUGUAUCACAUAUCUUUCAGCAUUUGAGUUUCACAGUUUUCAAAAUUUUGCUGGCCACGUGUAUCACUGAUGACACUUAUACAAGUGCUUAUUUUGAUUUUAUUUGUUUGGUAUGUUUUACUGGUGACAUAUAUUUCACAUAUCUCACUCAGUUUAGUGCCUGCCACAUAAUUACUAUUUGUGAUUUUGGAUUGUACUAGCUUUGAUUUGGCUGAUUUCAAGUGAGGAACAUGAGUGGGCUGAUGUAUUAGGCAUGACCAUGGGAAGGCGGUGUUUUCUAUGGUAGAAUUAGUAUGGUGGUAUAAUUCACUGCAUGGUUGGUAGGUUCACUGAUGCAUUUUGUUUAUAGAUGCCUUGACUUCUUGGCCGUCGUGCGUAGCUGCGCGUCGCCGCGGGCGAGUCUCGGCUCGCCUUGCUCUGUUCCACUGUGGCAAUAUUUCCAACUUAUUACAUGAAUGGCUCUAAAAUAACAAGCUUUCGACAUCCUAUGCUUUUUCUAGAAGCUGUUGGUUCUUACUCAAACAUAAAUGCUUCCACGAUAGUGUGGCAUAUUCUCUGACUUCAUUCCUGUGUGUUCUGGAAGAGGAAAAACAAUUCUGUUUGUAUCCCGCCGUGUUCUGGAAGAGGAAUAAGAAUUCCAACACUGGUAGCUAUGUUAGUGUGAUAUGGAGAUGGUUUAUUCCAUGGAAGAGUAGUCACAACUUUUUGUGAAGAUAAUUCCUGAGACUCAAGACAUUGGUCAUGUUUAAGCUUUAGGUGCUUGGAGAUUAUUUGCUGACAUAUCUACUAUUGUUUCCUUCUAACUAUCUGCUGCUAUUUCUCAAUCUAUCGUUCUAAUAUAUCUACCAAAAAGGAUUUGAGAACGCUUGCUUAUUUAGUAAGAAUAUCCUCUUUCUUUGACUGGAGCUUUUUUAGUUCAUGGUUGAUGUCAUUUCAUAUUAUUAGGUGGUUGUCGAUAGUGUCUGUUAAGAUGGAAACAUUUUGCCACCAGGUAGCGUGGUGGUGUAGUCAAUUUUGUAUCUGAUUAUGAUCUUAUUUUUCAGGGUUAUAGUGCAAGGAAACCACACAACCAAAUGAUUGUUCCAAAAAAUUCAAAUUUCCCUUCGCACAUGUACAAGAGCAUCAUAGGUUGUUUAGUCUUGGAGUUCCAAAAAACUGGUUGACUUGUGUACUACAGAGGUAAUGGAACACCUACUUUCACCUAUGUGGGUUUAAUGAUAGAUAACUGUUGCAAUAGAUGGAGCACCUACUUUCACCUAUAUGGGUUUAAUUAUAGAUAAUUGCUACAGUAGUUUGCCAUGUUUGACAUUGCAUAAAUAUGCUUGGAAUAUCAUAUAUCAGGUAAACCUUGAAAACAAGAGAAAUGGUGGUAUUCUCUACACUAGGUUUCAGUUUACUGAAAAUCCACUCUUCAUUUACUGAGUUUUAUGUUUGUUCUUGCUAUCUGCCAGCUCCAUGAUACAAUGGUUUGGAAAAUUUGUAUCGAAUGAUGAUGAUCCAUAAAGCCCUAGGCUGUUCUUUUGCUCACGAGUGAGUUUACUACUUUCUGGUUGCAUGCGCCAAGUCGCCGAGCAGACACUUUUUUUGCAAACUGAUGUAGGAUUAGUUGUUGCAUUGCUUAGUUGGGCUCUGGAGCAGCGAGUACCUUAGUUGAUGCAAUAAUAGCUUCUUGAUGCAUAUAACAUUCUUGCUAUAAUCUGGCCUGAGUUCAAUGUUUUGCAAAAUUCUAUGUAAAUGCGACAAAAGAUCUAGCUUUCUUAUAUUUGGUACUAUGCUUUAGUUACAAUAAUGCACAAAUGGAUUUAUGGAUUAAAUGGAAACAUUGGAAGGAAGACAUCAUUAAAUGUACAGGCACUCUCUGUUCUUACAAAUCUAGCCUAGGUUUGAUACUGAUCUUUCAUCGCUUCAUGCUAAUCUUUUCGGUAUAACAAUACAUAUAUACCUAUUCAGUGAUUUGGUUCCUCUUUGCUGAACUUUUAUUCUUUCCUGCUCAUCUAUAUAGGUUAUGACACUAGUGCAGAACCAGGCUUUAGUGCCGGUUUGUGACGGCCUUUAGUGCCGGUUGGC